ACAGUGGUGGUCCAUUGUGAUAGGAUUCUCGCCUUCCAUGCAGGAGACCCGGGUUCUAUCCCGGCCAGUGCA
rnacentral:tRNA from 1 species